rnacentral:rRNA from 1 species
UACGGAGGGUGCAAGCGUUGUUCGGAAUUAUUGGGCGUAAAGCGCGUGUAGGCGGUUAUCUAAGUCUGGUGUGAAAGCCCGGGGCUCAACCCCGGAAGUGCACUGGAUACUGGAUGGCUAGAGGGUGAGAGAGGGAAGCGGAAUUCCUGGAGUAGGGGUGAAAUCCGUAGAUAUCAGGAGGAACAUCAGUUGCGAAGGCGGCUUCCUGGCUCAUUUCU